CUGAUCUACAGGCAAGGCAUCCUCUUUAUUGUUUGGCUCUGAUAGACUGCUUAAGAGGAUGAAUAUGCAUCAGCACCCUUCAUUCACUCCAUCCCACCUGCCAGAGUCACCUGUGAUAUGACAAACUACUUCAGACGGAGACAGAAACCUCAAAAGAAAGCUCUCUGAAAGAUUUUGAAGUCAACUUCUAAGAAGACACAGAAAAUGAUCCGAUCCACCUAGAGGCAAAAGAUAAAACACUCAAAGUGAAAAAAAAUAUGGCAAUUGCCCUGCCAGGACAUAGCCGUAGAACAAAAACAAAUGGAAAGGCCUCAUACAGAUUUUUGGUUCUAUACUGCUAUCUACAUCAUAGCAUUGAGUGAAGUUCAAGGAUGUGUGUAAGAAUGUGUGUGUGUGUGUGUGCGUGUGUGUACUCUGUAUAUAAAUAAACCUAUGGGCUCUUUGGUGGAAAGAUGCUAUAUAAAUCAAAUAAGAAAUAAUAAAUGACAAUAAGCCACUUUGCAGCAAGCUAUAAAUAAGAUCUGAGAUUCCGACAGGAUAGCUAGACUUUAUGUCCUAUAAAACAGCCACACGAGAGGUAUACAGCAGAAUGACAAUAAAGUAUGUCAGUAAACAAAGAGCUCAUUGUCCUACUCUUGCUAGACAAAUAUAUUUAUCAAACCUGUUAGUAUUUGAACAAGGCCUAAAAAGCUUCCAUGCAGUUUAGUUGGCAUGAAGCCACUUGCUUUAAUUUAACACACUUGGAAAUGCAACAGAAAUAAAAAGUAACUAGCUGACAGUGACGCAAGGUCGAUAUAACAUUUAAUUUUGUAGAUAUUAUUGAAUAAGUAAAUGCCACCUCAAAAGUAAAAUGUGUGCAUAGUCCCUUUUUUGUUUUGAGGGAACUUCUGUAUGUAAAGAGUUUCUUGGAAACAUUCAGAGAGUAAUAUAGUAAAUGGAGAAGAGACACGGAGUAUACAUAAUAGCUCACAUAUAUCUGAUUAAAUCAGUGACUUAAUUUUGUGUCCUGGAAAUAAAUAACCCUUUAGUUAUUUUGUUUUAACAACAUAAAAAAAUUGAAAAGCACUCACUGGCAAGUUGCAUAGAACAUCAAAUGAGGUGUUUCUCGUGGCAGUAGGAAAUGGAAGUGGGUGUACACAUGGCAGGACAAGAAAGAACCCCCAUGGAAGUCACCCACCUAACCUCCCUGCUCUCCAAACCUGUGUGAUGCAGAUCUCACUAGUAAGACAGUUCCCAGUAGAAAAGGAGAUCUACAGGGGCAAGAAGUAGGGGCUGGGUUAUAAACAAUCACAUUUUCUGACGGAAGACCAGAGAUUUGGCUCCUUAGUCUCUGCCCAAGCCUAGACCUCACUUAGGGUAGACUGCCUCUUGGAAAAUCACUCAGUUUCUAACCUGUAAUCAUCAAAGACCAUGCAGCCCUUAUAACUGCCUUCAAAGGAUGGAUUAUAAGGGAAACGGGAAAUGGAACAACUAGAGUACAAACAACCACAUUUCUUUUUUCUUGUGUUCACUUUCGUGUCUGGUGUCCAGUCCUAUCUGCCUAUCAUUAGCAUUUUCUAUAAAUGCUAAACCUGUCAUUGUCAACUCAUUCCCCAGGUGAACUCUAAAUUUAGUUGAAUAAAUGUAAACUGUGCAAUAGUGA
rnacentral:lncRNA from 10 species